rnacentral:rRNA from 1 species
GAUGAACGCUGGCGGCGUGCCUAAUACAUGCAAGUCGAGCGAACAGAUGAGAAGCUUGCUUCUCUGAUGUUAGCGGCGGACGGGUGAGUAACACGUGGGUAACCUACCUAUAAGACUGGGAUAACUCCGGGAAACCGGGGCUAAUACCGGAUAAGAUUUUGAACCGCAUGGUUCAAUAGUGGAAGACGGUUUCGGCUGUCACUUAUAGAUGGACCCGCGCCGGAUUAGCUAGUUGGUAAGGUAACGGCUUACCAAGGCGACGAUACGUAGCCGACCUGAGAGUGUGAUCGGCCACACUGGAACGGAGCGACGUGCCAGACUCCUACGGGAGGCAGCAGUAGGGAAGCUUCCGCAAUGGGCGAAAGCCUGACGGAGCAACGCCGCGCGAGUGAUGAAGGUCGGCGGAGUGUAAGACUCUGUUGUUAGGGAAGAACAAAUUUGGGAGUGACUGAACAAGCCUUGACGGUACCUAACCAGAAAGCCACGGCUAACUACGUGCCAGCCGCCGCGGUAA